rnacentral:rRNA from 1 species
CAGCAGCCGCGGUAAUACGGAGGGGGCUAGCGUUGUUCGGAAUUACUGGGCGUAAAGCGCACGUAGGCGGCUUGGUAAGUUAGAGGUGAAAGCCUGGAGCUCAACUCCAGAAUUGCCUUUAAGACUGCCGAGCUAGCAGGUGAGAGAGGUAAGUGGAAUUCCGAGUGUAGAGGUGAAAUUCGUAGAUAUUCGGAAGAACACCAGUGGCGAAGGCGGCUUACUGGCUCAUACUGGACGCUGAGGUGCGAAAGCGUGGGGAGCAAACAGGAUUAGAUACCCGGGUAGUCCCUGUCUCUUAUAA